rnacentral:rRNA from 1 species
UGCGUAGGCGGCGCGGAAAGUUGGGUGUGAAAUCCCUCGGCUCAACCGAGGAAUUGCGCUCAAAACUACCGUGCUCGAGGGAGAUAGAGGAAUGCGGAACUUAGGGUGGAGCGGUGAAAUGCGUUGAUAUCCUAGGGAACACCGGUGGCGAAAGCGGCAUUCUGGAUCUCAUCUGACGCUGAUGCACGAAAAGCUAGGGUAGGCAAACG